rfam:Triticum aestivum genome assembly, contig: Triticum_aestivum_CS42_TGACv1_scaffold_577252_7BL
GAUAUACUCCCUCCGUCCCAAAAAGGAUGUCUGAGAUUUUUCUAAAUUUAAAUGUAUCUGUACACUAAAUAGUGACUAGAUACAUCUAAAUUUAGACAAAUCUCAGACAUCCUUUUUAGGACGGAGGGAGUAAAUA